rnacentral:rRNA from 1 species
UGCGUAGGCGGGCUAAUAAGUCAGUGGUGAAAUCUCUCGGCUCAACCGGGAAACUGCCAUUGAUACUGUUAGUCUUGAGUUCGGUUGAGGUAGGCGGAAUGUGUAAUGUAGCGGUGAAAUGCUUAGAUAUUACACAGAACACCAAUUGCGUAGGCAGCUUACUAGACCGACACUGACGCUGAGGCACGAAAGCGUGGGGAGCGAACAGGAUUAGAUACCCCUGGUAGUCC